GUUACCACAAAAGACAUCUGACAAAUACCUUUCAGUACUCUCUCUUCUAAUAAACCAUAUUCCACUUUGCGAAUUCAGAAGUAAAACACAGAACCUAAAUGAAACUUGUGACAUGGAUACAGAGAAAUUUAAGUGACCUGUUCCACUUCAAAUAAUAACAGAGUGUGCCAUUGGCAAACUUGGAGAUGAAGGAUGCUUUCUCUCUGAGCAAUUAUAGCAUGUUAUUACUGUGCUCUCAUGCAGAUUUUCAUUCUAAAAGCCUCACUGGUAUCGUACUGUGAAAUUGUUUUGUUCAGUAUGAUGUUGAAGAAAUGUGAGCAUACAGAAUGUAUAAAAGUUUCAUUUGUGCAAGUAGUCAUAUAUACAGAUAGUCCUUAGAUAGCAGAGAAUAAAAUCAUUACAAAACAUUUAUUCUACAAAGAACCGCUCCUCUUAUAUGUGUCACUGCAUCUUCCUGGGUAUAUGUGGUCUUCAGUAGUGGACACUGAUGGUGAAUCAAGGUGUAUUUACUAAGAACAUGCCAAAUUAGAUGAAAGAGAUUUCCAUUUAGAGAGAAGAGUUUUGGGAUUAACAGCUCUCUGCUUCUUAGCACAGUAUUUUACAAAGCCUUUCAUGAUAUCCUUGUUACAUGGCAAGAAGAAGGGACUCUAUUUCACCUAAAAUGUGAUCAUGUGUGUAUGCCAGUUGAUUUUAGGUGAUAUUCAGAUGAACAUUUUCUUAAAUGAAUACUAUUUCUGAGAUAUGUUACUGGUUUUUAGUUCAUGUUAUUGAUUUUCUAUUAAAAUGCUAUUAAAAGGUAAAAAGUGAGACUACUUAAGGAAAAAUAUCAAGAAAGUACGGACACAGGUAGUAUGUAUAUAUGAAUGAGAAAUUAAAUUGGACAGUUUCUAAGAUUUUUUCCAACUCUCAGAUUCUAUGAAAGACAAAUAUAACCAUCCUUCUUAAGCAGAAAAACAGAAUUAAAAGUAAUUAAGUUGUUAAAGAUCUUGGACUAGAACCUAACUCUUUUUGACAAUCAAAGAAUUGGAAGAAAUAUGACCCUCCAUUGGGGUCUAAGCAAAUAGGCAGAUAUAUUUUAAUCAUUAAAAAACUAUGUUUUGAUUAUUUUCACGUAACAACAAAAGAAAAUGAAAUGAGAGGGACAUUCAAGGCUCCUCAAAGUUCAAUUAGCCAGAGAAAAUAAUCAUGUUCAUUCUUGCUUAAAGUUGUUUCCCUCUUGUCUUUUUUUGUCAGA
rnacentral:lncRNA from 1 species